rnacentral:rRNA from 1 species
GGCUCAGGACGAACGCUGGCGGCGUGCUUAACACAUGCAAGUCGAACGGGGUACUUGUACCCAGUGGCAAACGGGUGAGUAAAGCGCAAAUAACCUGCCGCAUUGAUGGGGACAACAAAUCGAAAGGUUUGCUAAUACCGAAUGUUGUAUGAAGUUCGCAUGGAUUUUGUACUAAAGAUUUAUCGCAAUGCGAGGGGUUUGCGUCUGAUUAGAUAGUUGGUGGGGUAAAAGCCUACCAAGUCGACGAUCAGUAACCGGUCUGAGAGGAUGAACGGUCACAAUGGAACUGAGACACGGUCCAUACUCCUACGGGAGGCAGCAGUGGGGAAUAUUCCACAAUGGGCGAAAGCCUGAUGGAGCGACGCCCGCGUGAGUGAAGAAGGGUUUCGACUCGUAAAGCUCUUUUCUCCAUGAAGAGUGGUUCUUUAGAAGAAUAGGGACGGUAAUGGAGGAAUAAGCCACGGCUAACUACGUGCCAGCCGCUGC